AUUGAACGCUGGCGGCUGGCCUAACACAUGCAAGUCGAACGGUAACAGGAAGAAGCUUGCUUCUUUGCUGACGAGUGGCGGACGGGUGAGUAAUGUCUGGGAAACUGCCUGAUGGAGGGGGAUAACUACUGGAAACGGUAGCUAAUACCGCAUAACGUCGCAAGACCAAAGAGGGGGGACCUUCGGGCCUCUUGCCAUCGGAUGUGCCCAGAUGGGAUUAGCUAGUAGGUGGGGUAACGGCUCACCUAGGCGACGAUCCCUAGCUGGUCUGAGAGGAUGACCAGCCACACUGGAACUGAGACACGGUCCAGACUCCUACGGGAGGCAGCAGUGGGAAUAUUGCACAAUGGGCGCAAGCCUGAUGCAGCCAUGCCGCGUGUAUGAAGAA
rnacentral:rRNA from 1 species